rnacentral:rRNA from 1 species
ACAAGCAGCGGAGCGUGUGGUUUAAUUCGAUGCUACACGAAGAACCUUUACCAAAGGUUUUGACAUGCAAGUGGUAGUGAUCUGAAAAGUGAACGACCCUUCGGGGAGCUUGCACAGGUGCUGCAUGGCUGUCGUCAGCUCGUGUCGUGAGAUGUUCGGUUAAGUCCGCUAACGAGCGCAACCCUCACUGUGUGUUACAUGUGUCACACGGGACUGCCGGUUUUUAAGCCGGAGGAAGGCGGGGAUGACGUCAAGUCAGCAUGGCCUUUAUAUCUUGGGCUACACACACGCUACAAUGGUCUGUACAAUAGGUUGCCAAGCCGCGAGGCGGAGCCAAUCCUAAAAGCAGGCCUCAGUUCAGAUUGCAGUCUGCAACCCGACUGCAUGAAGAUGGAGUUGCUAGUAACCGCAGGUCAGCUAUACUGCGGUGAAUACGUUCCCGGGUCUU